GAUGAACGCUGGCGGCGUGCCUAACACAUGCAAGUCGAGCGAUUCUCUUCGGAGAAGAGCGGCGGACGGGUGAGUAACGCGUGGGUAACCUGCCCUGUACACAUGGAUAACAUACCGAAAGGUAUGCUAAUACGAGAUAAUAUGCUUUUAUCGCAUGGUAGAAGUAUCAAAGCUCCGGCGGUACAGGAUGGACCCGCGUCUGAUUAGCUAGUUGGUAAGGUAACCGCUUACCAAGGCGACGAUCAGUAGCCGACCUGAGAGGGUGAUCGGCCACAUUGGAACUGAGACACGGUCCAAACUCCUACGGGAGGCAGCAGUGGGGAAUAUUGCACAAUGGGCGAAAGCCUGAUGCAGCAACGCCGCGUGAGCGAUGAAGGCCUUCGGGUCGUAAAGCUCUGUCCUCAAGGAAGAUAAUGACGGUACUUGAGGAGGAAGCCCCGGCUAACUACGUGCCAGCCGCCGCAGUAA
rnacentral:rRNA from 1 species